UGGGGAAUAUUGCGCAAUGGGCGAAAGCCUGACGCAGCGACGCCGCGUGGAGGAUGAAGGUCUUCGGAUCGUAAACUUCUGUUAAGUGGGAAGAAAUACCUAUUAUUAAUACCAAUAGGGGAUGACUGUACCAUUAGAGAAAGCACCGGCUAACUUCGUGCCAGCAGCCGCGGUAAGACGAAGGGUGCGAGCGUUAUUCGGAAUUAUUGGGCGUAAAGGGUGCGUAGACGGCAUAUUAAGUCAACUGUUAAAUCUUCCGGCCUAACCGGAAAUCUGCGGUAGAUACUGAUGUGCUAGAGGGUGGAAGAGAGAAGUGGAAUUCUCGGAGUAGCGGUAAAAUGCGUAGAUCUCGAGAGGAACACCAAUGGCGAAGGCAGCUUCUUGGUCCAUUUCUGACGUUGAGGCACGAAAGCGUGGGGAGCAAACAGGAUUAGAUACCCCCGUAGUCC
rnacentral:rRNA from 1 species